rnacentral:lncRNA from 1 species
CUGAGAUCGAUCACAUAACAGUUUGACCAAAGAUCAGUUUUGAAGAUGCUUCAUCCUGCUUCAAACACGGGUAGAAGUUACCAAUCCAAAUCAUGGGCAUUACAUGAGAUCCCUUCGGGACAGGUAGCAAAUUAAGCAAGCAUAUAAGCGUUUUUCACUCGCUAGGUAUAUAGGUAGUAAUUAAGGUUUAUAAGCAGCAGCUGCAGGAGGAGCCAUCGCCCAUGAUGCUAAUAAGCUCCCGGCCAGCGCGUUAGGAGUAGUUGUUCUUCUCGGCUAGUGACGGGCGAC